CUCCCCCGCCGCUAACGCUACUUAUCCCGGGAAAGCUCGAGCGGGCCCCGGGAGCGAACCCACAGACAAAAAGUGAAACUUCGGCAGCAGGCCGGGAGUGGCUGCUGACGACAGAUUGGAAAGCUGAGCUUGAGCAAAGAGAUCCUGCCACGGAACACCCCACCCCCCACCCUAAGAGCCUCGUCGGAGCCCCGCCCAGGACUCCAGCAGGACUCAGAAGUCCGGGAUGGUAGAGAACAACUUCAGUUCACUUCGCACAGGAGAGCUCCAAAGCUGGGACCUGACCCAGUCCUGCCCCGUGGAGAGGAGCCAGUAUUCUACUCUUAGCUGGGUUUCCGCCUCCAGGCACGACCCGGCCUCUAACUGUGAGCUUAGACCCAAGUUAGAGCUAGGCAGAUGACUUGACCCACUGAAGUGACUAACCCCAGUUCCUGGAAGGUUGUGGUUGACAAGCCUUGAGAAACAAUGGCAAUCGAGUGCUUCAGGGCAACUUCCUGUCCUUUGUUCAAAGACAAGAACCUUUGGAGUUUAACUUUUGCUUCCCAACCCUGCCCUGCCGGAAAACCAACCAGAAAGCUUGCUCUGUUCUUACAGCUUAAAAAAAGAAAAUACACGAACUGGGUGAACUGGUUUGAAUAAAGACAAGCCUGUUCUUGGAAGGUUGGGUUUGGAUAUUUUGUGUUUGAUAUUUGUAAAAGUGAGCAACGAUGAGAACCCCUUUUACUAGGUUAAGAUUCCGGCUAGGAGACACUGGAAGCCCUCUGGCCCUCAGUAGUGAACGCUUUUCAUCCCGGCACAAGAGAGGUUUACAUAGACACUGUCACAAACUAACCAAAAACACAGAUUUGGGUGUGGGUGUGUGGGUGGGGGUGUGUGUGUUUCUAUCCUGUAUCCUUUGCUUUACCCCAGUCUCCCAAACAACUUCAACCCAUGCUAAUAACACAACCACCCAUUCUGGUCUUUGAGUGGGUUGGGUAGGAUCUAAGGAAAAUAGCAUAACAUGACCUGCACAACACAGCUGUCUGAGCAUGCCCCUGACCUUCCCACUCUCAAGCCACCUUCCACCACCAUGGGCCCUCACCUUCUACAGCCUAACUCAGUCAUGCAGACAGAAAAAGUACACCAGGGACUUCAGGGGUGGGGACGCUCCAACGUGCCUCUUCUCCGGUUAUAUUUUGAUGAACCUUUCGGACUAAGUGUCAAAGUACGUACUCCUGUGCUUAACAUGUAUUGAACAUUUCUCCGGCAGUCUUCAAAAUUCAAACACUUCUGGGGCCAAACUGCUUAACCCCUUUGCCCUCCCAAGUUUUCCAGCUACACACACUCAAAAGUAGGAGUACAGCAGGAGAGAACAAGAGUACCUGUGCGUUCCAUGGGAAACAGGCUCCCAGGGGUCCGGCUUUUUAAGAGAUCACAGUGUAUUCACUCUACCCUAAGCAUUUCAGCCAAUGCGUGCCCUGUGUGCUACUGCAAUGGAAGUCAUCCAUUGCUCAUUUAGGUAUAACGGAACUUGACCAGCAUCCCUUGCUUGCUUUACUCCCUUCUCAGUAACCCACUUAUAAAGAAUAAUAGAGUUCUAAUGAGGAUUAAUAAAAUUUAAUAAGG
ensembl:lincRNA Lppos LIM domain containing preferred translocation partner in lipoma, opposite strand